GGCUGGUUGGCUCAGUGGAUGGAGCGUGGUGCUCAGAACACCAAGGUCGCCGGUUCAAGUCCCGCAUGGGCCA